AUUGAACGCUGGCGGCAGGCCUAACACAUGCAAGUCGAACGGUAGCAGGAAGCAGCUUGCUGCUUUGCUGACGAGUGGCGGACGGGUGAGUAAUGUCUGGGAAACUGCCCGAUGGAGGGGGAUAACUACUGGAAACGGUAGCUAAUACCGCAUAACGUCGCAAGACCAAAGAGGGGGACCUUAGGGCCUCUUGCCAUCGGAUGUGCCCAGAUGGGAUUAGCUAGUAGGUGGGGUAACGGCUCACCUAGGCGACGAUCCCUAGCUGGUCUGAGAGGAUGACCAGCCACACUGGAACUGAGACACGUUCCAGACUCCUACGGGAGGCAGCAGUGGGGAAUAUUGCACAAUGGGCGCAAGCCUGAUGCAGCCAUGCCGCGUGUAUGAAGAAGGCCUUCGGGUUGCAAAGUACUUUCAGCGGGGAGGAAGGGAGUAAAGUUAAUACCUUUGCUCAUUGACGUUACCCGCAGAAGAAGCACCGGCUAACUCCGU
rnacentral:rRNA from 1 species